CUUCUCUACCUUCUGAAUACAAUAUAAACUUGGUUCUUUGCCCAACAGAUUUUCAGAUCUUUUGACUGCAACCACUGCUGUAGGCCAGCCAUCUGUUGUCCCCUUUGCUCCAUUUCCAAGGGGAAGGAGAUGCAUCUGUUUGUCAGCUGCUGUUAAAGAUGCUGGAAGUGUGAUGCAGAUCAGACCUUCAGAACAAAUCAAAGGUGGAGGACCAGGGAGGGAGCUCCCUCUGGACAAUCACUAUGGUAUCGCCUUCUCUGAUGGUGUCAACUGGUACAGUCUUCAUUCUCCAUGUCCCUAGUGAAGCCCCUGAGUCUACCCCAUCCUUCUGAAAUGCUGCAUCUUUUUGGCCUCAGAUACCUUUUUGACCUGUGCAAUUUGAACUUUGCAAGCAUAAUACUUCAAAUUGUAUUUUUUUAAAAUGCACUGAAAGCGCCUUAAAAAAAUUACUGUACACACCCACACCUAUAUCUGUAAUUAAACCAGUUAGUCUUAAGCAUGCUGUUGCAUGUUUUCUUCCCC
rnacentral:lncRNA from 11 species